rnacentral:lncRNA from 1 species
UCCGUUCGACGGUCUGUUGGCGUGCCCGGGGCGUGAUGGGAGGUUAGGUUCAACCAAGUUAUAUUCGAAAUGACGUGAGGCGGGAUUGAGUCGAGUCAUAUUCGAAAUUGUGUGAGAUUAGUUGGGCCGAGUCACAAUCGAGAUCUAUGGGUGCUAUGUCUGUAUGUUUUAAGUGAAUUUGUUGUAUAUUUUUAACAGCUCAAAAUUUACGAAAGGUUAGAUUAGACCGAGUUAUGUUCGAAAUGGUGUGAGACUGGGUUGAGUCGAGUCAUGUUCGAAAUGACUUGAGGCUGGUUGGACUAAUUCACAAUCGAGAUAGACCCAUGAGCGCUGUCUAUAAAUUUUAAGUGAAUUAAUUGCAUAUUUUUAACAUUUCGAAUUUUUAAAAUUAAUUAAUAAUUAAUGCCAACGAAAUGACAGAAUUGAGAUGG